rnacentral:rRNA from 1 species
CCUACGGGAGGCAGCAGUGAGGAAUAUUGGUCAAUGGGCGGGAGCCUGAACCAGCCAAGUCGCGUGAGGGACGACGGUCCUAUGGAUUGUAAACCUCUUUUGUCGGGGAACAAAGGCGUCCACGGGUGGGCGGAUGAGUGUACCCGAAGAAAAAGCAUCGGCUAACUCCGUGCCAGCAGCCGCGGUAAUACGGAGGAUCCGAGCGUUAUCCGGAUUUAUUGGGUUUAAAGGGAGCGUAGGUGGAUUGUUAAGUCAGUUGUGAAAGUUUGCGGCUCAACCGUAAAAUUGCAGUUGAAACUGGCAGUCUUGAGUACAGUAGAGGUGGGCGGAAUUCGUGGUGUAGCGGUGAAAUGCUUAGAUAUCACGAAGAACUCCGAUUGCGAAGGCAGCUCACUGGACUGCAACUGACACUGAUGCUCGAAAGUGUGGGUAUCAAACAGGAUUAGAUACCCCAGUAGUC